UUUGUGUGCUUCGCUGUGACAUCUUUGGAAUAUUCCUGCGUGUUGCUCGCUUUUUAUGGACUUGUUGCCUCGAAGAUCGCCAUGAUCGCCUCCGACUCAGCGACAUCAAGGAUUCAAAAUGAGCUGGGAGAGGCCCCAGCUGGAACGGUUCACAUAGGUUGAAGGAGUGCACAUUGAGAAGGUUAUCCUGGCACAGUUUACCAUGGCCUGCCAUGGUGGACCAGGAAAGUUUGCAAGGGCCUUGCUUCACCAUGUGUUCACAGAGGAGGAGCUCAUGGGCCAUUUGGGCUUUGGAAAUAACACCAAGGGGCAAAAAAGGCUCUUGACCCCACCAGGGUCAGUGCUGUUAUAGGCAAGUACCAUAUAUCCUUUCUGGUUGCAUUUUUACAUUCACAUUUUUUUCUAAAAUUAUGAACUUGCCAUUGGCAUAACAAACGACUUUCAAGUAGCCCGUGUGUGCAGUUGUAUGCGACAAUAGCCUCCUAUUUGGAAUGACUGUUCGUACGAUCUUAAGUGCGUAAUGCCGCCAUACUCAAAUGCUUCUAAAAUUUAAAAGCUGCCUUCACUGCUGAAAGUUUUUAGUGGCUCCACCACAUAAAAUGAGCUGCAUUUGCGCAUUAGCAGUGUUACUUGGCUGUCAUUGCAAGGAAUAGUUGUCUGUGAAGCACGCUCCAAAUCUAUUGGCAUGGAGGACAUGUUUAGUUAGCCUGAAAAUGUUAUUCUAAUACGCGAAUUGCGGAGAAGGUAUGCUCAAGUGUGGUUACUGCUCAGCUCGAGCAGGAGCAUGUUCACCAAAUUGCAGAAGUCAAAACAGCUCUCCAGGUUCUGAGAUGUGAAACAGUAGUUUCACCAAUUUUAACAGACCACAUCGAAUUAAGGUUGCUCCUAUAUUGAAGGAGGUCCAUGUGA